GAACAGAGAGAGAGAGAGAGAGAGAGAGUAUUCACUACUAUAGACUUUGGUCAUAAUCAAAGCUUUGUUAACCAAUACGUGUUUAUGGGAGGCUGCCUGUAAAUUACAGUGUAACAGACGCUGCGAGCUAGCUAACGGCUAGCUAACCACUAAAGUUAGAUGGAUAUACAGAAAUUCUUCAAGAGAGGCAGUGCCAGCAGCUCUGCCGAAGGCCAAUUCGCAGACAAGAAUGAGGGGAAGAAGCUGGAGGCUGUCAGGGCUGAGGGAGCAUGUCUGAUCAAGGGUCAUGCAGAAAGAGAGGCUUCUAUGCAAGGCAGAGAUCAACAUGCAACCUGUAAAAGUGAGAGAGAGCAAGCAUGCCCAGAGAAAGAGGGACAACAAACAGAUCCAGACAGGGAGGUAGAACAAACCGAUCCAGAGAAAAAAAGUAAUCAAGCCGCUGCAGCAACUCCUUCCAAAAAUGAGAGCGAUUUAGGUGACAAAGACACUGGGUGAAGCUGAAUAGCUACCCACAUGAAAGUUUUGGUACACAGAAAAGGGCAUUUCAGCACUGCUGGUUUAAGAAAUACAAUUGGGUAGAGUACU